rnacentral:rRNA from 1 species
AUUGAACGCUGGCGGCAUGCCUUACACAUGCAAGUCGAACGGUAACGGGUUAAGCCGACGAGUGGCGAACGGGUGAGUAAUAUAUCGGAACGUGCCCAGUCGUGGGGGAUAACGUAGAGAAAUUUACGCUAAUACCGCAUACGAUCUAAGGAUGAAAGCGGGGGAUCGCAAGACCUCGCGCGAUUGGAGCGGCUGAUAUCAGAUUAGGUAGUUGGUGGGGUAACGGCUCACCAAGACGAUGAUCAGUAGCCGGUCUGAGAGGAUGAACGGCCACAUUGGGACUGAGACACGGCCCAAACUCCUACGGGAGGCAGCAGUGGGGAAUCUUCCGGCAAUGGACGAAAGUCUGACGGAGCAACGCCGCGUGAGUGAUGAAGGUUUUCGGACUGUAAAACUCUGUUGUCAGGGACGAAGGUGCGAUCUGCGAAUAGUUGAUCGUAUUGACAGUACCUGACGAGGAAGCCACGGCUAACUACGUG